rnacentral:rRNA from 1 species
GAUGAACGCUGACGGAAUGCUUAACACAUGCAAGUCAACUGUGGCGGACGGGUGAGUAACGCGUAAAGAACUUGCCUCACGGAUAGGGACAACAUUUGGAAACGAAUGCUAAUACCUGAUACUGUGAGAGAGCUUUGCGUCCCAUUAGCUAGUUGGAGAGGUAACGGCUCACCAAGGCGAUGAUGGGUAGCCGGCCUGAGAGGGUGAUCGGCCACAAGGGGACUGAGAGACAGCCCUUACUCCUACGGGAGGCAGCAGGGGGGAAUAAUGGAGCAAGGACCAAAGGUUGAUCUAGCAUUUCUGUGUGCACGAUGAAGUUUUCGGAAUGUAAAGUGCUUUCAGUUGGGAAGCGGUACCAACAUAAGAAGUGACGGCUAACUACGUGCCAGCAGCCGCGGUAAUUC